rnacentral:rRNA from 1 species
GUAGGGAGCAAGCGUUGUCCGGAAUUACUGGGCGUAAAGGGUGCGUAGGCGGCGCAGUUAGUCAGAAGUGAAAUAUCGGGGCUUAACCCCGGGGCUGCUUCUGAUACUGCUGUGCUCGAGUGCAGGAGAGGUAAGUGGAAUUCCUAGUGUAGCGGUGAAAUGCGUAGAUAUUAGGAGGAACACCAGUGGCGAAGGCGACUUACUGGACUGUAACUGACGCUGAGGCACGAAAGCGUGGGUAGCAAA